UUGGUCAUGUAUCAAGAACCAUGAAGAUAUUGACAUUAUCAUCAUGUGUGCUUUUAAGUGAAGCUCAACAACACAUUUGCACUACAAUGAAAUCCGAAGCAAUUCUCACAUGCAAAUCGAUUGUCUGACUUUGGUAGAGAGUCGAAAAACUAAUCGAAUUAUCUAGUAAUCAGCUUCCCCUGAAAUUUCCCUCAAGACAACUCGAGUACAUAAUGAAGCUGUUAUAUUCGACAAAACGAAUGAAGGAAAGGAUUGUGGGACGAGACGCUCUCACUUUUCAGUGAAUAUGACGUCUUGCUUGCUUGAAUGAAGCGAAGGCAUUAAAUGUGUAUGCCACAGUGGGCCAUUUUUUGUAAGCAGAACUGGCGUGCUCUGGAAUGAAUCAAACGUUGAAUUAAAGCAUAAAUCUUCCACUAAUCAUCGCUUCGUCUUUAUAACUUGCAAAUUCAGCUAAAACAACCGAUGUACCGCUUUGAACCAAAUUUAAGGCCAAGAGGAAACGUCAGGUUGAAUAGUGAAUGACCGAAAUAUCCGCAAACAUCAGAAAAAUGAAGGAACAACGGGAAAACAGUCUGGAAAGAGGCAACGACAAUCGACAGAAUGAUUGUUAAGGGACUGCUCUGUGGUGUGUACCAUCGGCUUACAUUCAACACACACACACACACACACACACACACACACAC
rnacentral:ncRNA from 1 species